ensembl:lncRNA
UUUUUAAAGCAGAAAAGGUCAUUUAUUUACAAAAACCAGGCACCAGAAAAGACAUCUGUGAAAUAAACAUCUGGAAAGAAAAAUCCAGAUGACCUGCAAACACUGGGAUAGGGAUACAUUGUAGGUUAAUUUACAUUAACAUUUUGCUGGAGUGUUCUUCCACAAAUACCAUGAAAACAAACUGUAUAUUUAUCUCAGCAAUUCAACACAGUGUUUUUAUCUGGCAAAUGUAUAUAUUUGUUUCAUAUUAUACAAAAUACACACAAUACCAAGAAAAAAAAGGACUGACAAGCAGAGGUCAGCAUUAGCUCAGUUGCUCAGGUUCCUGUUAACAUGAAAUGCUGCCACAAUAUCUUCCUUCCACAAGCAGGUACUCCCAGUAUCCAACACUGGGAUUAUAAUGGAGCAAAGUUAUAUAUAUUUUGUAUGUCAGACAUAUAUACAUCUAUACACAUCACCUUCAAAUGAACUGGUGGCAAACAGACAAAACCAGUUUGUCAAAGAGUCCAGUACAGUCAAAUGAAAAUGUGACAUGCAGAUGGUAAAACUGUGUAGAUGAUUGCUUAAUGUGACUGUUUUAAAUAAAUGUUUUUAUUUGAUUUUUGUUUUUUAUUCAUUUCUUAUUUAUUUGUUGGUUUAAAAUACAGCUUUUUAUACACUUUACAAGUCUGGCUCCUGUGUUCAGAUAUGUUCACCGGGUCUUUUCUAACAGUUGUGCCAACCAAUGACUCCAUUAUCUGCGUACAUUUUUCUCUUUUCAGUCUGGACAUUUUUGUUCCACACCAAGGAGUAUGUAUGGGAAUCAUAGAUGCUUGUCUAAACUCACAUCUACACAUUCCAAAAAAAAAAAAAAAAAAAAAUACUCCUACUCAGACUCUAUUACAAACACAAUAAAUAAACUCGCUGGCUUAAAAAAUAUAUAAAAAUAUAUUUUUUUACAUAAAAAAAACUAAAAUAUAUUCCACAAAUGCAUCAAAAGCCAAACACUGAAAACACAGAACCAUGUCUACAGUCUUUCAUAUGUGACGGACAGACAAGAUGUUAUUUUGGGAUAAUUAGACAUAUAUAAGAUUGAAAUAAUGUGACAGUAUGAUAAUGAGAAAGUGCAGAGAAGACAGCUUUUUUCACAUCUGUUUGUUUUUGCAGUGAUUUAUGAAAAUAAUAAAAGCAUUGUGGUAGGGAAUUUUCUAUUUCUACUUCCAUGAAACACAAACACAAAUGCAUGUGUGAAGACUGUAUCUAGAACAACUGACAAGAUCACAUUUUAGAGGUAAAGCUCGCACAGCUUGCUUUAAUUUGGAAAAAGGUAAAAGUUCAAUUUUCUUAUGGUGGCUUAGCUUAAUGUGCAUUGUGCAAUAAAAAAAACAUAAUAUUCAAAUUUUUUUAGGCACCUUUAGCUUUUCAGCUGAAGCUUUAUCACAUACUUAAUACAUACAAGGAAAAGAAAAAAAGCCACCAAACCUUUUCCCAAAUAUGCACACAUGAACAUAGGCAAUUAGUCCAUUAGCCAUAAAAACGUAACUUUUUUUCUUUUUUGCACAGUUGAACACUUUAACACACACACACAUAUAUAUAUGUUCACUGACUACAUGCAUAAUGUGUGUCUUUGUGUUUAAAAUUAUUCUAAAUAUGACCAAAACCAACUCGUUAUUGCUCGUGUUAAAUGGACUUUCUGCAGCGCACUUCUUCUGGCAAGACCUUGGUCACUUAUAACCAGCACAGCAGUAAAACUUUUUGCAUGAGGCGGACAGAAAACCAUCUUGAUGUGCGACUGCAGAGCAGUUACAUGAACAGGCAUGCUGCGGCUUGUUUGGUCUCACUCUUCUUCACAUUGGAAGCUUAUCCACCUUUGGGCGCAGAGGCCUUCACAGACCACCUUUACUUCACCUGGACUGUUACGAAGCUCUGUAAGGCAGAUCCUCGUAUCCAGAUUUAUCCAGAUUCUCAGCAGCUCAGAACUUCAAAUGGUGUGUUCUAUUUGGGCAAGGGCUUUAAAUUAUGGUGUUUUCAGGUGAAUUUAUGAUGAUGGAACUCUCGGGUGUCUGUAUGACAAAGAGAAAGAGAAAAGCAUUUAGUCUGUGCAUUACCAAGUCAAUUGUGUGCUUGACUGGCGAAACGCCUGGCUGAUCAUUUUUAAUGGAGGUUUCUGUGGCAGAGUGACUGUAGUCAGCUCUUAUCAGUCCCAAAGAUCUGACUGAGUAGUCCAUAUCUUUGGGUAAGCUUUCAAAUGGAGCAUCCUGGGCUGUGUAUUUGAACUGUGAUCUUUUCCCAAAACCUGAGUAGUUUUCUUGCUUAGACCUCCAUGUAUCAGACAAUACAAUAGAAAUAGAGGUAGUCAGUAAGUGAAAGUACAUUUAAAAUAAAAAGUCCAAAAGACAUGCGUCAAACAAAAUGACUGUGUUGAAAGUCAUUUUUCGCAUCGUGAUUUCUUUGGACUGUUAUAAAAGCAUACAUCUUUUAUAACUUUAUGAAAACAAGUAUUUGGUGCACAAGUUUGAAUUCAUUUUGGACUUUCUCUAAUCCACACCGUGUCAGAAUUAUACAUGCAUGCUCCAAUAUAUAGAUCAACCACCCCUAUUAAUAUUAAUGUAAAUGUCCUUUAGCCACAUAAACCAGGUGCUUUCCAUAGCCAAGAACCGUCUUAUGGCUGGAUAUUUGAACCCUCUUCUUGGCUGAACUGGUAGAGAGUCAUUCGUCUCAAAUUCUGUAGAAUUUUAGCUUUAAAUAUCACACAUACUUUACAUACUACAUACUGACAUUUUCAGUGGCCUUUCUUACCAUCAAAAUAAACCUGGAUCUAUAAUUUGGGACAGGUACAUUAAAAAAAAUGUCUGCGUGCUUGCUAGUUGAAAAUAUGGAAAAAAAAAGUGUCUGAUAUUUAAACAGACACUAGUAAAAAAAACUUGUAAAAGUCAGCUAGUGAUCAUCUCUGAUCAACAGCCUUAUUAAAUGCAGAGUAGUUUGGGCCCAGAAGCAGGAUUCAACAUGUCAUCACUUAAAGACCAGAUACAAUAGAAACAGAGGUGAGAGUCAAGUUACACACACAAAAAAAAAGCCAGUCAAAAUGAAUGCAAAGUCCAAGAGACAUGCAUCACACAAAAUAUCUGUGUUGUGUCAUGUGGCCUAAAUCUUUUUUCACAUCGUAGACAAAGAUGUUGUGGAAAUUUGGGGACUCCUGCAGAGACCCAUAUUUGAACAGACACAGUAAAAAAAAACUUGCAAAAGUCAGCUGGUGAUCAUUUCUGAAUGGUGUAUUACUGAAUUUCACAAUAAUGCAAAAUAAAACAGGUAGAUUAUUUUUCAACAUGAAAUUGUUAGUCACACAAAAAAAGAAAAUGCUACUUUUGUCUAACUUUCAUCGUUUUUUUAAUCAGCUCCUCACAAAGGAAAAUUAACCCAGUGAUCUGUGCGUUUCUUCCCAGCAGAGAGAAGUCCAGUAUCGAGCACAUAAGCAGGCCCAGUUUUGUUUUGUUUUUUAACCUACAGUUGGUGGAAAAAUAGAUUUUUGUAGUUACAGCUGGACCUCUGCUGACAAAAAAAAAAAAAAAAAAAAGAACACUUAGUGGGAACAAAUAUCAAAUCAGUCAAGGCUGUGUUUCCAUUCAGGUCUUGUCUGGUCUCAUCAGUCAAGGAAACCACAUGUGUGAAAUAUUAAGUCUUUUAAAGGCACCGUUUAUGAAAGUAGUAGUACAGUAAAAAUUACCAUUAAUAAAUUGGAACCCUCUUCAACAUCUGUGGGAAAUGGGUUUUGCUAAAAAGAGAAGAAAACAAUACUGUUAAAGCAAAAACACCCUGAACAGGGUUUAACACAAAGUUGACUCUCCACAAAUGUUAAGAAACAGAUAAAUCACUUCUGUUGUUCUUAUUAAUGAAAUGUAAUAUCUAAGUAAGACUAUCAAAUAACUGCAAGUUUAGUUGUAUCCUAAUCCUCUGUGCUUCAGUUACAGUGAGUUAGCAUCCACAUUCUACAAAAAUA